rnacentral:tRNA from 1 species
GGAGUUAGCUCAGUGGUAGAGCGCUUGCCUAGUAAGCGCAAGGCCCUGGGUUCGGUCCCCAGCUCCG